rnacentral:rRNA from 1 species
UACGGGGGGGGCAAGCGUUGUUCGGAAUUACUGGGCGUAAAGGGCUCGUAGGUGGCCAACUAAGUCAGACGUGAAAUCCCCGGGCUUAACCUGGGAAUGGCAUUUGGGACUGCAAGGCUGGAGUGUGGCAGAGGAGACUGGAAUUCCCGGUGUAGCAGUGAAAUGCGUAGAUAUCGGGAGGAAUACCGAUGGCGAAGGCAGGUCUCUGGGCUGACACUGACGCUCAUGCACGAAAGCGUGGGGAGCAAACAGG